rnacentral:rRNA from 1 species
CCCAGACUCCUACGGGAGGCAGCAGUGGGGGAUAUUGCACAAUGGGGGAAACCCUGAUGCAGCGACGCCGCGUGAGUGAAGAAGUAUUUCGGUAUGUAAAGCUCUAUCAGCAGGGAAGAAAAAAGACGGUACCUGACUAAGAAGCCCCGGCUAACUACGUGCCAGCAGCCGCGGUAAUACGUAGGGGGCAAGCGUUAUCCGGAUUUACUGGGUGUAAAGGGGGCGCAGACGGCGAUGCAAGCCAGGAGUGAAAGCCCGGGGCCCAACCCCGGGACUGCUCUUGGAACUGCGUGGCUGGAGUGCAGGAGGGGCAGGCGGAAUUCCUGGUGUAGCGGUGAAAUGCGUAGAUAUCAGGAGGAACACCGGUGGCGAAGGCGGCCUGCUGGACUGCAACUGACGUUGAGGCCCGAAAGCGUGGGGAGCAAACAGGAUUAGAUACCCUGGUA